GACGGAGGGGGCUAGCGUUGUUCGGAAUUACUGGGCGUAAAGAGUGCGUAGGUGGUUUAGUAAGUUGGAAGUGAAAGCCCGGGGCUUAACCUCGGAAUUGCUUUCAAAACUACUAAUCUAGAGUGUAGUAGGGGAUGAUGGAAUUCCUAGUGUAGAGGUGAAAUUCUUAGAUAUUAGGAGGAACACCGGUGGCGAAGGCGGUCAUCUGGGCUACAACUGACGCUGAUGCACGAAAGCGUGGGGAGCAAACAGG
rnacentral:rRNA from 1 species